CCUACGGGAGGCAGCAGUGAGGAAUAUUGGUCAAUGGGCGUGAGCCUGAACCAGCCAAGUCGCGUGAGGGAUGACGGUCCUAUGGAUCGUAAACCUCUUUUAUCAGGGAAUAAAGUGUGCCACGUGUCGCGUUUUGUAUGUACCUUAUGAAUAAGCAUCGGCUAACUCCGUGCCAGCAGCCGCGGUAAUACGGAGGAUGCGAGCGUUAUCCGGAUUUAUUGGGUUUAAAGGGUGCGUAGGCGGAAGUUUAAGUCAGCGGUGAAAUUUAGAGGCUCAACCAUGGAAGUGCGGUGGGAACUGGAGGGCGUGAGUGUGUUGGAGGCAGGCGGAAUGCGUGGUGGAGCGGUGAAAUGCUUAGAUAUCACGAAGAACCCCGAUUGCGAAGGCAGCCUGCCGAGGCGUGACUGACGCUGAUGCUCGAAAGCGCGGGUAUCAAACAGGAUUAGAUACCCUAGUAGUC
rnacentral:rRNA from 1 species